GACGAACGCUGGCGGCGUGCUUAACACAUGCAAGUCGAACGGAAAGGCCUGCUUUCCCUUGUGGAUUGCGGGUACUCGAGUGGCGAACGGGUGAGUAACACGUGAGUGAUCUGCCCCCAACUUGGGUAUAAGCCUGGGAAACUGGGUCUAAUUCCCGAUAGGACUGCAGGGUGGUGCCUGUGGUGGAAAACGAUUUUCUAGUGGUUGGGGAUGAGCUCGCGGCCUAUCAGCUUGUUGGUAGGGUAAUGGCCUACCAAGGCGGCGACGGGUAGCCGGCCUGAGAGGGUGGACGGCCACAUUGGGACUGAGAUACGGCCCAGACUCCUACGGGAGGCAGCAGUGGGGAACAUUGCACAAUGGGCGGAAGCCUGAUGCAGCGACGCCGCGUGGGGGAUGACGGCCUUCGGGUUGUAAACUCCUUUCGACCGCGAGGAAGCCACCUGGUUGGAAGGGUGGUGACGGUAGUGGUAGAAGAAGCACCGGCUAACUACGUG
rnacentral:rRNA from 1 species